rnacentral:rRNA from 1 species
UACGUAGGGACCGAGCGUUGUCCGGAAUUCAUUGGGCGUAAAGAGCGUGUAGGCGGCUCGGUAAGUCCGCUGUGAAAGUCCAGGGCUCAACCCUGGAAUGCCGGUGGAAACUGUCGAGCUUGAGUCCGGAAGAGGCGAGUGGAAUUCCUGGUGUAGCGGUGAAAUGCGCAGAUAUCAGGAAGAACACCCGUGGCGAAGGCGGCUCUCUGGGACGGUACUGACGCUGAGACGCGAAAGCGUGGGGAGCGAACAGG